UCAGGAUGAACGCUAGCUACAGGCUUAACACAUGCAAGUCGAGGGGCAGCAUGGCUUAGCUUGCUAAGACCGAUGGCGACCGGCGCACGGGUGAGUAACGCGUAUCCAACCUUCCCCUUAGUAGGGCAUAGCCCGUAGAAAUGCGGAUUAAUACCCUAUGUUGUAUAUUGAGGACAUCUGAUUUAUACCAAAGGUUCACCGCUAAGGGAUGGGGAUGCGUCUGAUUAGGUUGUUGGCGGGGUAACGGCCCACCAAGCCUACGAUCAGUAGGGGUUCUGAGAGGAAGGUCCCCCACAUUGGAACUGAGACACGGUCCAAACUCCUACGGGAGGCAGCAGUGAGGAAUAUUGGUCAAUGGACGAGAGUCUGAACCAGCCAAGUAAGCGUGCAGGAUGACGGCCCUAUGGGUUGUAAACUGCUUUUAUACGGGGAUAAAGUGAGGGACGUGUCCCUUUUUGUAGGUACCGUAUGAAUAAGGACCGGCUAAUUCCGUGCCAGCAGCUGC
rnacentral:rRNA from 1 species